GGCCUGGUAGCUCAGUUGGUAGAGCAGCGGACUGAAAAUCCGCGUGUCGGUGGUUCGAUUCCGCCCCAGGCCACCA
rnacentral:tRNA from 1 species